AUGGAACUAGACAAAUUCCUCAUGAAUGGUGAGUACACCUUCGUUGGAUUCGCCAUUGAAGGAGACAAAAGCAAGCUGAAGCUAUCUGGUUUGGAGAUAAACUCCGACAACUACAUUGAUAUUCAGGUGGAAUGGAGAGACCCAUCCAAUAAAAAGAAGUUUAACUCUUUGGCUGAUGUUGCCGGCAGGAUGAUAGACAUUCACUACCAUUACAUGAAGAAAAAAAUUAACCGCAAGGAGGACCAUAGUCUGUGGGGAUUCUGCCCACUGCCAGAAAAGCUUAUCAAGUAUGCAGCAAUAGAUGCAUUCGCAACAUAUGAGUCAUGGAGAAUCAUCUACGAUGUCAUCAUGGGACUGGACAGGGCAAAAAGAGACAAAGAAACAAAACAGAAGAAGAACACGGCUGUAAUCCAAUGCAGCAACUAG
rnacentral:rRNA from 1 species